GAUGAACGCUGGCGGCGUGCCUAAUACAUGCAAGUAGAACGCUGAAGUAGGAGCUUGCUCUUCUGGAUGAGUUGCGAACGGGUGAGUAACGCGUAGGUAACCUGCCUGGUAGCGGGGGAUAACGAUUGGAAACGAUAGCUAAUACCGCAUGACAACAGUUAUUGCAUGAUAACUGUUUAAAAGGGGCAACUGCUCCACUACCAGAGGGCCCUGCGUUGUAUUAGCUAGUUGGUGAGUUAACGGCUCACCAAGGCGACGAUACAUAGCGGACCUGAGAGGGUGAUCGGACACACUGGGACUGAGAAACGGCACAGACUCCUACGGGAGGCAGCAGUCGGGAAUCCUCGGCAAUGGAGGGAAGGCGGACCGAGCAACGCCGCGUGAGUGAAGAAGGUUUUCGGAUCGUAAAGCUCUGUUGUAAGAGAAGAACGAGUGUGAGAGUGGAAAGUUCACACUGUGACGGUAUCUUCCAGAAAGGGACGGCUAACUACGUG
rnacentral:rRNA from 1 species